rnacentral:rRNA from 1 species
UACGUAGGGUGCAAGCGUUAAUCGGAAUUACUGGGCGUAAAGCGUGCGCAGGCGGCUAUGCAAGACAGAUGUGAAAUCCCCGGGCUCAACCUGGGAACUGCAUUUGUGACUGCAUGGCUAGAGUACGGUAGAGGGGGAUGGAAUUCCGCGUGUAGCAGUGAAAUGCGUAGAUAUGCGGAGGAACACCGAUGGCGAAGGCAAUCCCCUGGACCUGUACUG